ACAGCUUACUAGAGCAAAAACCCACAACCAGAAACUUCUGCAGGAAGCAGUGCUGGGGUAAGAAAACAUAAGCUCUAAUUGACAAAUUGCUGGAGGCUCAGUGUGGAAAAAUCUAACAGUUAAAAAAUCCAGGAAGACUUAGUGCGAUAAUUUACUGAGAAUGAUGGUUUCCAGUUUCAUCCAUGUCCCUACAAAGAGGGAUGAAACCCACUUGAUCAUGGUGGAUAAGCUUAUUGAUGUGCUGCUGGAUUUAGUUUGCCAGUAUUUUAUUGAGGAUUUUUGCAUCAAUGUUCAUCAAGGAUAUUGGUCUAAAAUUCUCUUUUUUUGUUGUGUCUCUGCCCAGCUUUGCUAUCAGGAUGAUGCUGGCCUCAUAAAAUGAGUUAGGGAGGAUUCCCUCUUUUUCUAUUGAUUGGAAUAGUUUCAGAAGGAAUGGUACCAAUUCCUCCUUGUACCUCUGGUAGAAUUCGACUGUGAAUCCAUCUGGUCCUGGACUCUUUUUGGUUGGUAAGCUAUUGAUUAUUGCCACAAUUUCAGAGCCUGUUAUUGGUCUAUUCAGAGAUUCAACUUCUUCCUGGUUUAG
rnacentral:lncRNA from 1 species